UAGAGCACUGUGUCCUGCCCUAGAGCA
rnacentral:piRNA from 1 species